ensembl:lncRNA
AUGUCAGAAAUUUCCAGGAAUAGGACACAUUCAUAUUACCAGUUCCUCAAACACAAAUUUAAAGCAGAGCUGCACCUCUGUCUUCUGAUGAGCAAGGGGAAUGAUGCUGUCUCAAGAAACUACAGGAUUCUGACCCAGAUCUAUGUUAGGGUAAGUGUAUUCCUAUACAUCGGCACAGAGCUUGUCCUGAAGCCUCACUCUUUCACUCCAAGGACAAUAACAACUGCAAAGUAUUUAAGCUUUCACGAAAAGGAGUGAAAACAUUCGGUUUCUUCUAAGUGGUUGCUGCAGUGAAAUAAUAUGCUGCUUUAAAGGUGCUGUAUGUAGUAUUGACACUGAGUGGUUGAACUAGGUAUUGCCAUCCAAAUUCAUAAUAUUGGAUAGGGUUUUUUUCACCCGGCCCAUCCUCCUCAGGCUUGAUGCACACGCAGGUUGCCAGAUUGACGACACAAACAAGAACGAGCGCACUUUACAUGAAUGAAAUGAAAUACGCUGUGUUUCCGCCAACUGGCAACCCGGGAUGCCCAAAUACAUUUGGGAAAAUGGCAGUGGGCGGGUUUCACAAACCAAAACAAACACCGACAUUCCGGCCCGGAACACACAUUUUCAAAGGAGAAUAACUGACUGUAGCAUUGAUUCCAGAUAAACAAGUGUUAACUUAGCAUGUUUCUUAAAUAUCUGCAAACAUAUUAUGGUAUUUUUAUGCUUUAGUAUAGUCAAAAAAUGACAUACAGCACCUUUAAAUGCUUGACCUCUUUAUUGUUUUUAUUGUUCAGUAAUUGAGAAAUCAUAGUCGCCGUAGUUGUGGAAAUUUAAAUUUUAUGGUUAUAGUUAUUUUCCCUGGUGUGAAUGGGUUUUGACAGAAUAUCUUUGUGGUAUAUCAAUUAAGGUCAAAACUGGAGAAUAGUUUGUGCAUUUGACUUAAAACUUUUUUUUUUUUUUUUUUUUGGCUUCAAUAGGAAUUUGUUGCCAUUGAAGAUACAUCCUCAUUUGAAUGCCUUGGGUAUUCAUUGUAAUGUGUACUCAUUGAUACCUUGGAAAUGACCAGAUACCUUGAUUGUCAAAGCUGUAUGAUGUCUGUCUGGUGAGCUUUUGAAUUCAGUGUCUUGUGCUUUAUGUUUCCAUGCAUUCAAGUUGAACCUGAAUAGAGUAUAAUUAAACCAGGAGUUGGACUUUCAGGCCCUUGACACAUGCUCUGUGAUUCUCAAGAAUUGCUUGAAUUGUACAUUUAAAA